GCCAUGGUGGAGCAGUGGGCAGAGCUGUUGCCUCAUGACCAGAAGGUCGUUGGUUUGAAUCCCGGCCUGGGCC
rnacentral:tRNA from 1 species